rnacentral:lncRNA from 1 species
CCAUUCCAAGAGAAACAUAUCUGAAGAAGAUAGAUUAGGCACCAUCCAAAAGUACAAAACUGUGUUCCCUGCAUUUCAACGACUCUGAUUUCAUCUGUGAGUCUAAAAGAAGUCAAAUCCAUGGCAAGGGUCUAAAGAAGAGGUACCUCAAACUAGAUGUAGUACCAUCCCUAUGGCCAAACUGUCCCAACUACCUCUUAACUCGUAGAGCGUCAUCAAGGCCAACUCAAGCUCUGAUCACGUCAUAUCAACAUAGGGUUCAACAGUUCAAUUAGCUACAGCAGCAUGCUGUGUUUCACGAAUCAUCAAUUGCAGCACUUUAGUACUACUCCAAAAGAGACAACAGACCGGAGUUUUUAAAGACACUGUCGAAUUUUCAAAGUUUAUCAGAACUAUGUUGAAUAUCUUAAACGUCAAGACAUCUAGAGUUGACUACGAAAAGAGAGAGGAGCUUGGAACCAAUCUCUGCGAAGAAUAAACUUGGCCUCUCUUUCUUGAGAGAUUUCGUCAAAUUUCUGAUCGAGUAGCAAAACAGUAAAGCACCUUCCUAGCAACAAAGUAGACUUGCCUUGCUGCAGCAGAUCUGGCAGAGUAUCUUCUCCUAUGUACUCCUCGGCAUGUUCCAGUGUGAUCCCAUCGAAUGAGGGCUAGGCUGGUACAGCCAACUAAGUGGAGGUAUCUACUACAUUAGCGUGAGACAGAUCCUGGAAGCAGAGAAAAAGAUUUCUAUUCUGAGACUUGUCAAAUUCUCAGAAAUGUCCAUUACUAAAUUUACCCUGAAAAACCACUGUACUCAAUUCUUUUAAAGGUGCUAGGGAUAAUUCCUUGAGAUAUUUGGAAAAUCCCUUUUUGUCUCAAAGACACAGAAAAUUCUGUUUCGAACAUGAUCUAUCCUUUUUGGAUUCUACUCAGCAAAAUAGAAGAUUUGUUUACUGAUUCUUUUAUGAGAAGACAUUCAAAAUAGAUCCGAUCAUUUUGGAAAAAUAAAGGGCUCUAAUGAAAUUAACCACAAAUAAAGGAUAAAAUAUCCUGCAUCAGUAUUAUGAUUUUUGUUGUAGUAAAACAUUAACCAAUCUGGUUUGAUAAAGGAUACCGAUUAACAUCGGUCGACUACUUGGCGAUAUUGAAAAAAAAAGUUCUUUCAUAGAUCAACAAAAUCACUAAGAUGUCUCAAAAGUCUAGUUUGGUCUUUUUAUAAAUUUCAUACUUCAAAUAUUGUUCAAGAGUGAAUUAUAAAAAAAUCUGAGUACUUAAUUGAAAGAACUGUCGUUUUAACCCGUUGGACUACUAUGUAUAGUUGCAAAUAUACUCUAGAGGCUCACCAAUACCCUAUACGCAAAUUGUAUACCUGACGUCAUCUGUCAACAAAAAGGAAGGAUAAUUUUAACUAGCUUUUUAUGUAAAGUUUGUUUGGCCGUUUUAAACAACGUGAUUAAAAUACCCAGUCUUCUUAGCAGCUGCAAUGUUGAGUAAUUUUUUUUAUUAGGCUGAGUCUUCCAUAUUCCUCCUAAUAUUCUCCAGGGGAUCCCACAAUACGCAUAAAUGAAUUGGAGUCCCAGUUGUAUCUCUAAACAAUCUAUUUUUCAAAAAGUACUUAUAACAUUUGUUUGUAAAAUGAUCAGUGCCAAACUUAACAAAAACGUCUUCUAUAGCUUUAAAGGAAGAUGAUCAAAAACUCCUUCUAUGUCAAAAAACACUAUUAUGGCAUAUUUUUUAUGAAAUACCAUACAUUCAGUGUUAUCUACUACUGUUCCUAUCGCCGAGUCUAUGGACUUCCCAUUUCGGCAUCCAAAUUAAUUUAUCAUAGAAACGUUUAGCUUCAGGGACUCAAUAUGGCAACAAAUUAUUCAUUCAAUUCCUUUUAAUAUGGUAUUAAUUAGUGUGAUUGGUUUUUAGGCUUUUGAAAUUACCCAAGCAUUACUCCAGAUUUUUGGACCAAGCAAUUCUCUCCUAAUUCUCAUCUAGUAAAUUUUGGAAAACUACUGGGGAAAGUCCAUCAAGUAAAGCUUUUUUAAACCUUUUAAACGAUAUAAAACAUCACGAUUCGCAGAAACUGUUAUAUCAUUUGUCCAUUUUGCGUUCAUGUUUUCAAACAAUACAUUCUGACUUCCUUCUUCAUAUGUUUCAUCUGACCUAUGAAUAAUUGAGUCACCAAAAUCCCGUCUCACUAAAUCAUUUAAGCCGUCCAUUACCAUAAUCCCCCUUCUUUAUUGCUUAACAUGCCUAUACUCGGUCCAUUAUGACCAUUUUGUCAUUUUAUUGCAGCCGAUAUUGCUAUGUAAGAAUGCAACUCUGUGCAUAUCUCCCUCCAAUGUCUCUGCAGUUUGAUUACCCUCCUAAUUUCUGUGUUAUAUGUGUAAUCGUCAACUCUAUUGCUACUGCAUUGGGUUUUGUUACUCUUUGCUCAACUUUUUUAGUUUCCUUUUUCAAUCAUGUCAGUUCUUCUGUACACAAUGGUGUAACUCGUUUAUAUUUUUUUGUACAGUGAGGUACCAAUUCAUAAAGAGCUUCGACGAGUGAACUCGUUAUUUUGCUAGCUAGAAGUUAUAUUACCUUCAUAUAUGUCUUGUUUUCUACUCCGGUUGUAGCAAUUUUCCUCAGUGGAUGCACCUUCUAUUUCAAUUUCAAGUUUAAACAUAAAAUAUUUGUCGUCUGACAUUGAUUGUUUUUCAGAAAUACCCCACAAAGUGACAUUAGAAAGUAUGUAGUCUUCGACGAAGGUUACAUCUAUAAUUGGAACCUGUUCUUCCUCCAAAUGUAAACUAUCUCUCAUCGUUGCAUAUGUUCAAUUCAAGUGCUGCAAACAUCUCUUCUAUUUCUCACCUUUCUUAUUUAUAGUUUCAGCACCCCAUAAUGUACUAUGUGUAUUAGUAUCCAUACGCAUCAUAACGGGUGUUCGCUCUUCUUUAGACAUUUUAUAAUUUAUUCAAACAAUGAAAAACCACAUUGUAAUGCUAUAUCCGCGUAAUAUUAUACCACAACAAUCUGCAGGUUCUUAAGCUUUAAUGUUAUUGUCACCAUAUCUCCAAUACAAUAAUCAAUGAAGCUCACUGCCUUUAAACAUUUCAAAACCAUAAUACCAACCCUAACGCUCGAUCCUGUGGAACAAUUAUGAAAAAAAAUGUCAUAACAGGAAUAUCUAUGGACCAAACAACCAUUUUUUUUACUCAGUUUGUAAACUCUGAUGGAACUUUUACCAAUAUUUAUCUGUAUACAAUUAGAUUUGAAGCCAAGCUGUUUUCCAGUGGAAAGAUUAUUAGUGCUUAUCAUUAUUAUAUAUAUAACGAAGUAUUAAUUAAUAUUAUUUGCAUUUUUAAUUAUUUUUCACUUAUUAAUCAAUUAAAAUCUGAGAUCAUUAAUGAAAUAAUGUGUCUAUAAUUUAGCAGAGACGAUCAAAAGGAUAAAAGUGACGACACUGUAAGUAUGUGGGCAGAGGUAAAUAAGUAGUUGAAUAUAAAUUCAUACUUCCAAUCAAAGUAAUAAUCAAAAUGAUUUCGCAUUGAAUAUUUAAAAAAGAAAAAACAAGAACAAAAACAAACAAAAAAACUCAGAGUUUUGAAUUCUUAAUAGUCUUACUUGACAAAAUUCUUGGUGAUAGUCCGGAAUCAGUUGCAAAUUAAUUUCUUGAUCCUGAUUUGGUUCGACUUCUCGAUAUGUUAUCAGUAGUUAAACUAAGUUUUCUAGGUUUUUGGAGGCUUCAAAGGUUCUUUUGCGCCAAUUUUUCACAAAUAUUUAUACUUUGUCCUUUUUUAAAUUAUUCAGUUUCUCUUAGGGAGGAAUAUUCUCUAUCCGGUUCCAGAUUUGAGUCAUCAUAAGGGUUACCUGAGACAAUAUUUGUUUCAUCAAUAGUAAUUCCCUCAAAAUCUUUGGUAUUGGGACUAAUGCGGAGGGGAUGUCACUAUCAGCUCCUUUUAUUGGAUUCAUUAUUUUUCAUUGGUAUUAACUUUGAAGGAAAUCUCCUCCACAUAAUUUUGCAAAUUUUCAAUAUCCACUAUAUCUUCUUCAAUCGUGGAAACAGUUUCUUUUUCAGUUUUUUCUCGCCUUUCUAGAGAGUCAGAUUGUUUUUCUUCAGGAUUAUUUGAAGACUCAUUUUUACUCCAUUCCAUAAUAGAUUAUUGCAAAGUAUUAACCUAUUCAUUUGAUUUCAUCCUCUCAGUUUUGCAUACAUGUUUAGUUUGUCCAUAAUUAAAACAAUUUUGAUGUUGUAGUCUUGAUCCUUGGAAUUUAAGCCUUAUCAAAAGGCCUUGAAUGGGCAUUAUUUGAGGUAGAGUUAAUGUGUCUGCGACACUCCCAACAACAUCCACGCAAAUUUCAUUAUAGUUUGUAUACAUUUGUUCUGCUAUACCAUCAAAUUGUUUUUUGUUUUUUUUUUCGAUAAUGUUCCACAAUUUGUCCAAAUUGUUUCAUCUAUUGAACUGCCUUCUACUCUUUAAUUUUCUUAAAAGCAUUACAAAGCGUAACCAGUAUUUUCUGUGUUGUAUCCUCGAUAAUUUUGUCCAUCCCUUGUAAUUUAAUUUUGAGGUCCAGGUUUGUUCCAUCCCCCUUUUUCAUCCCCCAAAAGUGAUAUCCCUUGAGCUCCUUCCUCUACUUCUCACGUCAACUAGAUAUUUUGUGUAGAAACAUGCUUAAUUAGAUCCAAAUUUAUGAUUAGUCCCUAUCCCUUCGUGCUCUUUUAAGCCAUAUUUUAAAGCAAUAUCAUAUGCAUCUACAUGCUUUAUUAUUAAUUUCUCUCCAAGCAACUUGCCUUGUGUGGAUUUUAUUAAAACAACAAAUGUUUUGCUCUAGAGGGAUUAGUUUUAAGUUAAAAUUUGACAAAGGUUCGAAUCUCCUUGUUUUCCUCUCUUUCUUCAAAAUAUCUGAGUAUAAGGACCCCCCAAAAAAUAUCAUCUGGUGGCUUAUCAGGAGGUAGUCCGCCAUUUUUAUCCCGUCUUAUUUAAAAAUCAAUAGACAGUACAAAGAUACACUCUUGCUUAAUGAAGCAGGCCGGUCAAGUUCGAUAAAGCAGAGGAUCAAAGCUCUUUGAGUUGAAGAGGAAGUAAAAUUUAGUGGGGAGGAAAAUGGCGUCUAGGAAAAAGGAGGAAUCCACUUAACGGAAAAGUAUAAGUCCUUACUUCUGUUAUAAGGAUAACUAGGCAGAUCCUCCUGGAUGUAGUCUCAGCUCCACUUUAAAAAUAUCUAACACUAUGUAACAAAUUUUAAUCCCCUUUCAUCAAAAUUUUAAAUCAUAUUAAUACAUAUAUUGUAUAUAUUGUUGUUGAAAAAUGCUUGAAGAGUUUCAUUUUUUUCACUGAAUAUAAUCUUAAUCGAUAUUCAAUUCAACCUAACAUGCUAGAAAUUUUUUUAAAUUCCUUAAUAACUAUUUAAAACAAAAUAGACCAGAAAUCAAUCAAAAUUGACCUUUUUAUACUAAAAUAUAAGGUCUAUUCUAAAAAUUUACUUAGCAUAUGAAGUACUUGAA